rnacentral:rRNA from 1 species
UACGUAGGGGGCAAGCGCUGUCCGGAUUUAUUGGGCGUAAAGAGCGUGUAGGCGGCCAGACAGGUCCGUUGUGAAAACUAGAGGCUUAACCUCUAGACGUCGAUGGAAACCGUCUGGCUAGAGUCCGGAAGAGGAGAAUGGAAUUCCUGGUGUAGCGGUGAAAUGCGCAGAUAUCAGGAAGAACACCCGUGGCUAAGGCGGUUCUCUAGUACGGUACUGACGCUGAGACGCGAAAGCGUGGGGAGCGAACAGG